rnacentral:rRNA from 1 species
UGUGCCAGCAGCCGCGGUAAUUCCAGCUCCAAUAGCGUAUAUUAAAGUUGUUGCGGUUAAAAAGCUCGUAGUUGGAUCUCAGUUCCGGACCGACGGUACGCCGCCCGGCGUCUACUGUCGGCUUCCGAACGCUAAAGCCCGUCGGCUCGGUCGGGGUGCUCUUCAUCGAGUGUCCCGGGCGGCCGGCAUGUUUACUUUGAAAAAAUUAGGGUGCUCAGAGCAGGCCAAGGCGCCUGAAUACUUGUGCAUGGAAUAAUGGAAUAGGACCUCGGUUCUAUUUUGUUGGUUUUAAGAGCCCGAGGUAAUGAUUAAUAGGAACAGACGGGGGCAUUCGUAUUGCGACGUUAGAGGUGAAAUUCUUGGAUCGUCGCAAGACGAACUACUGCGAAAGCAUUUGCCAAGAAUGUUUUCAUUAAUCAAGAACGAAAGUUAGAGGUUCGAAGGCGAUCAGAUACCGCCCUAGUUCUAACCAUAAACGAUGCUGACUAGCGAUCCGCCGGCGUUAAUCCCAUGACUCGGCGGGCAGCUUCCCGGGAAACCAAAGUCUCUGAGUUCCGGGGGAAGUAUGGUUGCAAAGCUGAAACUUAAAGGAAUUGACGGAAGGGCACCACCAGGAGUGGAGCCUGCGGCUUAAUUUGACUCAACACGGGGAACCUCACCAGGCCCGGACACCGGAAGGAUUGACAGAUUGAGAGCUCUUUCUCGAUUCGGUGGGUGGUGGUGCAUGGCCGUUCUUAGUUGGUGGAGCGAUUUGUCUGGUUAAUUCCGAUAACGAACGAGACUCUGGCCUACUAACUAGUCGUCGGGUUGUCUUGUACCGGCUUCGGUCGGUCGCCCGUCGCAACUUCUUCUUAGAGGGAUCCGCGGCAUCUAGCCGCAAGAGACUGAGCAAUAACAGGUCUGUGAUGCCCAAG